rnacentral:lncRNA from 1 species
GUUUAGAGAGGUGCACACAUUUUUUUUUUCCUCCACUCAUAAAGAAUCUCAGAAUUCUAGGGCUGGAAGAAAAUGUGGAAGAUUCCUCUCUUGGUGCUGAAGGCUUGAGUGGAAUUCGCAGAAGCCCAUUCCGGGAGCUCUAACUAGCUCUUUGCUGGCAAAUUUCCUGGAAAUUUAACCAUCAGCUCUUGUGAACUGGGACUAGCCAGCCCUGGCGUACCACUGGUGAUUGCGGAAGGCCUUGCUGAGAAAGGGACAUCUGAAUAGGAAACUGAAAGAGGUGCGGUGAGGGAGUAAGACCUGGGGACAUCUGGGGACCAGCACUCGCUUCCUGCCUGGGAAAAGCAGCAUCUCAGGCUGGUGUGUCCACACAUCCAUGCUCUUGUCCCUGCUGUCCCCUGAGCCUGGACAAUCUCUGUCCUCCUGAUAUGCUUAGUGACAGCCUUUAGGGCCAGACUCCCAGAUGACUGAUAGGGUAGAAUUCCUUAUUUCUCCCAGGCCUCCUUACUUCCUUUCUGGAAAAACAGGUGGAUAUGAA